rnacentral:rRNA from 1 species
UUAAGUUAUUAAGGGCGCACGGUGGAUGCCUUGGCACUAGAAGCCGAUGAAGGACGUUACUAACGACGAUAUGCUUUGGGGAGCUGUAAGUAAGCUUUGAUCCAGAGAUUUCCGAAUGGGGAAACCCAGCAUGAGUUAUGUCAUGUUAUCGAUAUGUGAAUACAUAGCAUAUCAGAAGGCACACCCGGAGAACUGAAACAUCUUAGUACCCGGAGGAAGAGAAAGAAAAUUCGAUUCCCUUAGUAGCGGCGAGCGAAACGGGAAGAGCCCAAACCAACAAGCUUGCUUGUUGGGGUUGUAGGACACUCUAUACGGAGUUACAAAGGACGACAUUAGACGAAUCAUCUGGAAAGAUGAAUCAAAGAAGGUAAUAAUCCUGUAGUCGAAAAUGUUGUCUCUCUUGAGUGGAUCCUGAGUACGACGGAGCACGUGAAAUUCCGUCGGAAUCUGGGAGGACCAUCUCCUAAGGCUAAAUACUCUCUAGUGACCGAUAGUGAACCAGUACCGUGAGGGAAAGGUGAAAAGCACCCCGGAAGGGGAGUGAAAUAGAACCUGAAACCGUGUGCUUACAAGUAGUCAGAGCCCGUUAAUGGGUGAUGGCGUGCCUUUUGUAGAAUGAACCGGCGAGUUACGAUUUGAUGCAAGGUUAAGCAGUAAAUGUGGAGCCGUAGCGAAAGCGAGUCUGAAUAGGGCGUUUAGUAUUUGGUCGUAGACCCGAAACCAGGUGAUCUACCCUUGGUCAGGUUGAAGUUCAGGUAACACUGAAUGGAGGACCGAACCGACUUACGUUGAAAAGUGAGCGGAUGAACUGAGGGUAGCGGAGAAAUUCCAAUCGAACCUGGAGAUAGCUGGUUCUCUCCGAAAUAGCUUUAGGGCUAGCCUCAAGUGAUGAUUAUUGGAGGUAGAGCACUGUUUGGACGAGGGGCCCCUCUCGGGUUACCGAAUUCAGACAAACUCCGAAUGCCAAUUAAUUUAACUUGGGAGUCAGAACAUGGGUGAUAAGGUCCGUGUUCGAAAGGGAAACAGCCCAGACCACCAGCUAAGGUCCCAAAAUAUAUGUUAAGUGGAAAAGGAUGUGGCGUUGCCCAGACAACUAGGAUGUUGGCUUAGAAGCAGCCAUCAUUUAAAGAGUGCGUAAUAGCUCACUAGUCGAGUGACACUGCGCCGAAAAUGUACCGGGGCUAAACAUAUUACCGAAGCUGUGGAUUGUCCUUUGGACAAUGGUAGGAGAGCGUUCUAAGGGCGUUGAAGCAUGAUCGUAAGGACAUGUGGAGCGCUUAGAAGUGAGAAUGCCGGUGUGAGUAGCGAAAGACGGGUGAGAAUCCCGUCCACCGAUUGACUAAGGUUUCCAGAGGAAGGCUCGUCCGCUCUGGGUUAGUCGGGUCCUAAGCUGAGGCCGACAGGCGUAGGCGAUGGAUAACAGGUUGAUAUUCCUGUACCGCCUAUAAUCGUUUUAAUCGAUGGGGGGACGCAGUAGGAUAGGCGAAGCGUGCGAUUGGAUUGCACGUCUAAGCAGUAAGGCUGAGUAUUAGGCAAAUCCGGUACUCGUUAAGGCUGAGCUGUGAUGGGGAGAAGACAUUGUGUCUUCGAGUCGUUGAUUUCACACUGCCGAGAAAAGCCUCUAGAUAGAAAAUAGGUGCCCGUACCGCAAACCGACACAGGUAGUCAAGAUGAGAAUUCUAAGGUGAGCGAGCGAACUCUCGUUAAGGAACUCGGCAAAAUGACCCCGUAACUUCGGGAGAAGGGGUGCUCUUUAGGGUUAACGCCCAGAAGAGCCGCAGUGAAUAGGCCCAAGCGACUGUUUAUCAAAAACACAGGUCUCUGCUAAACCGUAAGGUGAUGUAUAGGGGCUGACGCCUGCCCGGUGCUGGAAGGUUAAGAGGAGUGGUUAGCUUCUGCGAAGCUACGAAUCGAAGCCCCAGUAAACGGCGGCCGUAACUAUAACGGUCCUAAGGUAGCGAAAUUCCUUGUCGGGUAAGUUCCGACCCGCACGAAAGGCGUAACGAUUUGGGCACUGUCUCAACGAGAGACUCGGUGAAAUCAUAGUACCUGUGAAGAUGCAGGUUACCCGCGACAGGACGGAAAGACCCCGUGGAGCUUUACUGUAGCCUGAUAUUGAAAUUCGGCACAGCUUGUACAGGAUAGGUAGGAGCCUUUGAAACGUGAGCGCUAGCUUACGUGGAGGCGCUGGUGGGAUACUACCCUAGCUGUGUUGGCUUUCUAACCCGCACCACUUAUCGUGGUGGGAGACAGUGUCAGGCGGGCAGUUUGACUGGGGCGGUCGCCUCCUAAAAGGUAACGGAGGCGCUCAAAGGUUCCCUCAGAAUGGUUGGAAAUCAUUCAUAGAGUGUAAAGGCAUAAGGGAGCUUGACUGCGAGACCUACAAGUCGAGCAGGGUCGAAAGACGGACUUAGUGAUCCGGUGGUUCCGCAUGGAAGGGCCAUCGCUCAACGGAUAAAAGCUACCCCGGGGAUAACAGGCUUAUCUCCCCCAAGAGUUCACAUCGACGGGGAGGUUUGGCACCUCGAUGUCGGCUCAUCGCAUCCUGGGGCUGUAGUCGGUCCCAAGGGUUGGGCUGUUCGCCCAUUAAAGCGGUACGCGAGCUGGGUUCAGAACGUCGUGAGACAGUUCGGUCCCUAUCCGUCGUGGGCGUAGGAAAUUUGAGAGGAGCUGUCCUUAGUACGAGAGGACCGGGAUGGACAUACCUCUGGUGUACCAGUUGUCGUGCCAACGGCAUAGCUGGGUAGCUAUGUGUGGACGGGAUAAGUGCUGAAAGCAUCUAAGCAUGAAGCCCCCCUCAAGAUGAGAUUUCCCAACUUCGGUUAUAAGAUCCCUCAAAGAUGAUGAGGUUAAUAGGUUCGAGGUGGAAGCAUGGUGACAUGUGGAGCUGACGAAUACUAAUCGAUCGAAGACUUAAUCAA